ensembl:lncRNA
UUGACUUUAAAGUUAGGAACUUAGUAAAUUAAUACAAAAUAUAAAAUCAAAUUCCAUUGUGUGGUUUAUUGGUAAUAGCUUUGAACAAUAUCAAUCCAAUCAGUUUUUAAAGAGUCUCAACUGAACUCAUCCAUUUUAUACUAGCACAAGCACACUGUACUUAUGCUCAAAGAUAGAGAGUUACUGAAUAGAAACAAGAAAUAAAUCUGUAUUUGAAGAAACAAUGGUUGAGCAACAGCAUCCAUCCUCCAUCCUGAUGGUGCGAAACUCACGUCUGGCCUACAAAAGCAGAGACAGAACCGGAGGCCUUCAGAAAUAAACAUGUUUCUCCGUUCUGAAGUGAGGAGAGAGGCUGCAGACUAAAGCCCGAGUCAGGGAGGUUUGUGAGGGAUCCAGCUGUGCUGAGCAGACUGUGAAGGCCUCCCCGCCAACACCAACACAAGAGGAGGGUCCCAAAUCCACCCACCGUUCAUUGUGGAGCCCCGGCAGGCACUUCCCCUAUCCCAGCAUGCAACAGACUCAGUUGGCCAGGCUGACGGAGGGGAGGGGUGCAGAGCUCGCUCUCCAAACUGUAUUUAUUCAUUCCUUUGAUUUGCAGCUCUUGGAUUGGAGCUUUACCCCCUGAGGAGGUUCACAGUGCUCCAUUGAGAGGUGGAGAAGCUAAUCUUGAUUGAUUUUUUCCUGAACGGUGCACAUCUCUUUCAGUGGUUAACGUGCUAUAUAAUCUGCAGCCUGGGACCAUGUUAAUUCACUCAGCUGGACCAGAGUGAAACCACGGUGGUAUCAUUCUGUGAGAGGAGGAGAACUCUAUAAGUGAAGAAUAAAGACGCAGUGAGAGCAAAUGGAGCGUGCAAUUCACUCUAUGCAAGAUCCAGAGCCCCUCCCCAGCCCCCCGCAGAGCCGCAGCCCAGCCGAGAGCAGCGCUACACGGGCUCAACCCCGACCAGCUGCAGGCUCCUGGAGCUCCACACAGAGAGAGAAGAAAAGAGAAAAAACUUGUGUGCGAAUGUGAAAAAGAGAGAGAGAAAGAGAGAGAGACACUUGAUGACAGGCAAAGUUUUUCGGGAGGGAUUCGCCACUCAAAGACACAACAGAGAGAAGCAGAGUGCUAAAGUUUCAAAGACACAGAGCCGAAGGAUUUCCACAGGGCUGGACUUCCUCUGCAGUAAGUUAGCAGGAGGUCAAACGUCAACCAAUGACGGAUCUUACAAUCAAACACCCAAUAACCAGCCGGUAACCAUCAAAUCUCGGCACACGGCACAUGACAGGCUGUGAAGAUCACUCGACACUGACAGAAUGAGGGGAAAAAACUGCAUGUUUAAUCACAGCAUGAG